rnacentral:rRNA from 1 species
AGUGAACGCUGGCGGUAGGCCUAACACAUGCAAGUCGAACGGCAGCACAGUAAGAGCUUGCUCUUACGGGUGGCGAGUGGCGGACGGGUGAGGAAUACCUCGGAAUCUACUUUUUCGUGGGGGCUAACGUAGGGAAACUUACGCUAAUACCGCAUACGACCUACGGGUGAAAGCAGGGGAUCUUCGGCCCUUGCGCGAUUGAAUGAGCCGAUGUCGGAUUAGCUAGUUGGCGGGGUACAGGCCCACCAAGGCGACGAUCCGUAGCUGGUCUGAGAGGAUGAUCAGCCACACUGGAACUGAGACACGGUCCAGACUCCUACGGGAGGCAGCAGUGGGGAAUAUUGGACAAUGGGCGCAAGCCUGAUCCAGCCAUACCGCGUGGGUGAAGAAGGCCUUCGGGUUGUAAAGCCCUUUUGUUGGGAAAGAAAAGCAGCAGGUUAAUACCCCGCUGUUCUGACGGUACCAAAAGAAUAAGCACCGGCUAACUUCGUG